rnacentral:snRNA from 1 species
UGCAGCACGCGCCUAACGGCGUGC